GUGUUGCUGAUUAGACAAUACCAUUUCCAAAGGCUUGGUCCAGAGCUUUUGGGCCAGGAGAGCACAAGGUACUUCUCCAGUCAUAUUAGCUGAGCCUAAACUCCAAGAACUAUAAUUCUUCCCUCCUGCUUUUGAUCUUCGUUAGGAGAAAACAGAAGAACAUAACUGAACCCCGUUCCCUACCAAUCAUCACAACAUUUAAGAAAAAAGCCCAGGGGCAGAAACCACAUCCAGCUGGGGACACAUGUUGAAUUAGCCUUCAAGCACAAUCACCAGGCCUUCCCCACAUAAACAUUAAUCUGCUUCACUAUUCUAAGCACGUUCAAUUAAUAUUUUUAGCCCACAGUAAAAAAGUAUGCAGUAUACUGGUAAAUCUUAUAAUAUUAGACCCGUUUAGAAUAAUGCAGCUAAUAUAAAUUUUUAGCAGUCUUAA